GCAGUAUUUAGUCAACAACACUGAGCUCAGCGUGUCAGGAGUGAGUCUAGCAGUAAAGGACAACAAUGGCACCUUCGUCAGUACUCUAAGCAUGGGUCUUUACAGUACUGCCGACUAUACAACCAAACUCCAGAUACCAGGAUCUGGGCUGCAGUUGAAAACUCGCAUAUAUGUGCAGGUCAAGGCAACAAAUCUCACAA